CCUACGGGUGGCUGCAGUAGGGAAUAUUGCACAAUGGGGGAAACCCUGAUGCAGCGACGCCGCGUGAGUGAUGAAGGCCUUCGGGUCGUAAAGCUCUGUUGUACGGGAAGAAAAAAAUGACGGUACCGUAUAAGAAAGGAUCGGCUAACUUCGUGCCAGCAGCCGCGGUAAGACGAGGGAUCCUAGCGUUGUUCGGAAUCAUUGGGCGUAAAGAGUAUGUAGGCGGCCUUGUAAGUCAGUUGUGAAAGCCCCGGGCUCAACCCGGGAAGUGCAAU
rnacentral:rRNA from 1 species